AACGAACGUUAGCGGCGCGCUUAACACAUGCAAGUCGAGCGAGAAAGGGGCAACCCCGGUAAAGCGGCGCACGGGUGAGUAACACGUAGGUAAUCUACCCUCGGGUGGAGGAUAACUUUCCGAAAGGAAGGCUAAUACUGCAUGAGACCACGACCUCGAAAGGGGAUGGGGUCAAAGCCGGCCUCUGUACACAAGCUGGCGCCUGAGGAUGAGCCUGCGGCCCAUCAGCUAGUUGGUAGGGUAAUGGCCUACCAAGGCGAAGACGGGUAGCUGGUCUGAGAGGAUGAUCAGCCACACUGGAACUGAGACACGGUCCAGACUCCUACGGGAGGCAGCAGUGGGGAAUCUUGCGCAAUGGGCGAAAGCCUGACGCAGCGACGCCGCGUGAGUGAUGAAGGCCUUCGGUUGUUAAAGCGUCUGUGGAGAGGGACGGAAUAAGUGUUGGUCGUAACAAUCCAGCAUGAUGACGGUACCGUCUUUA
rnacentral:rRNA from 1 species